CGCAUCUUGCACUCCAUGGUAUUCCGUGGAGUAUGUCUGUCUGAGUGUCAUGAAACUCUCAACCCUCUUACCUUUGUCUAACACUGGCAUUAGGGAUUGGAUCAUGAGUGCCUGCUGGACCUGCGCAUCAGCUCACUCUAAAUGUAUCAGUGGUCUGCUCUCUCUGUCUCUGCAGAUAUACCUGGUGUAAUAGGUUUUUAUUCACUGGGCAUCUGUGGGAGCGAAGUGUGGCUUACCAUUUCCAAACUACCAUUAAGUGUUUGGCCUCAGAUCAGGCAGGACUACCCGCUGAACUUAA
rnacentral:misc_RNA from 1 species